GACGUAGGGGGCGAGCGUUGUCCGGAUUUAUUGGGCGUAAAGCGCGCGUAGGCGGUCCGGUAAGUCGGGUGUGAAAAUCCGGGGCUCAACCCCGGACCUGCAUUCGAUACUGCCGGGCUGGAGGCAGGUAGGGGAGAGUGGAAUUCCUGGUGUAGCGGUGAAAUGCGCAGAUAUCAGGAGGAACACCGGUGGCGAAGGCGGCCAGUUGGGCCGGCUCUGACGCUGAGGCGCGAAAGCGUGGGGAGCGAACAGG
rnacentral:rRNA from 1 species